CAGCAGCCACGGUAAUACGGAGGGGGCUAGCGUUGUUCGGAAUUACUGGGCGUAAAGCGUACGUAGGCGGCUUUGUAAGUUAGAGGUGAAAGCCUGGUGCUCAACACCAGAACUGCCUUUAAGACUGCAUCGCUUGAACGUCGGAGAGGUGAGUGGAAUUCCGAGUGUAGAGGUGAAAUUCGUAGAUAUUCGGAAGAACACCAGUGGCGAAGGCGGCUCACUGGACGACUGUUGACGCUGAGGUACGAAAGCGUGGGGAGCAAACAGGAUUAGAUACCCCUGUAGUCCCUGUCUCUUAUAA
rnacentral:rRNA from 1 species